rnacentral:lncRNA from 12 species
UCCCCCAAUAUAUUAUACCCGAUAAUGAUAAUUUUUAUUGCAUCAUCUUAUUUCAACUUUCUUGUAAGGCUUGAUUCAUGCAAAAGUGGAGAGUCAUUCUCGUUCUUAAGCCCAAUUAAAUCACCAUUUCCUGAUUCAUCCUCCUGCUGCCCCAGAUACUUCCAACACAUUUCAGACCUGAAAUUUUCUGAACUGCUUCUUUUCCAAGUCAUUUUAAGAACCUAGCAUUAAAACAUAAUUACAUGACUGAAAAUACUUUUGAAGCCUGCUCAGUGAGACUUGUUUUAAUAGUGAGGUUUCCGAAUUGCAUGCCUCAGAGGACGAUUUCCUGAGCUGUGUAUAACUCGAGAGCAUCUCUCUGAGCCCAUUAGUCACCUUACAAAAUUACAUGAACUCUUUCAGGCCUCCCGGGGUAGCAACGAUUUAGCAAUAAAUGAAUGGAUUAUGCUUCAUACAGUCAUAUUUUAAAACAGCUUUUAUUAACAACCAAGACUGUUAUUUUUUGGCUUACAAGAUUAUAGUCACGGUUUUUACUAUAAAAUACGAGAUUCACUUUUUAUAGAAUCAAAAAAAAAAAAAGUUAAAAGCCAAAUGGAGAAUUGGUCUCUACGUUUUACUUGAGGAAAUCCAGGCCAGAGAUCAAUUCAGACCUUGCUCAAGGUCACAUAGCCCGAUUUCUGUGCAGCAGGAAUUGGAUGCAUGCUUUCCUCCAACUGCCAAUCCUCAUUUCAGCCAAUUCUUAAUUUUCCACUAACCAAAAAGCCAGCCCAUUACCUUCCAGCACACGACUGUCACCUAGUGGUGCUAACGGUCAUUGCUGCUUAUGCUUACUCCAAAACAAGGAAGGAAAUAAGAAUUAUCUUUAAAAUUUGAGAGUCUUCUUCUGUCAGGUGCUUUAUUUAUGUUAUCUUAGUUAAUAGUUUUAAUACUAUGAACUAGACAUUUUUAUCGAUGAAGAAACGAGAUGUGGUUGAGGAAAUAUACGCAAGUUCACAUAGACUUGCUCCCAGUAGCAGCAUCAUGAACACUCUUCUCUGGGGUGAGUCCCUGUCCUGUAACUUUGACCCGCACAAGGCUGGCUUCUCUUGGCUCUCAGCAGUCCUCUCUGACCUGUACGCUUAUUCCCCGGCUGCAAUGAUUGGCUCAGGGAGGCCAGUGAGACCCACUGACCUUUUCCUGGAGCAGGAGCGAAUAGAGCUUUGGGGCUUGUGA